ensembl:lncRNA
CAAUAAUAGGGUUUUUUGCAGAAGUACUUACAUAAAAAGUACAUGAUUUUCUUAAUAGCCUUUUCUGUUUUUCAGUUUAUUCUGAAAGCUGUCACUGAAUUUGCAUGGAUUUGGAAGUUAAAGGAGUUGCUGCAUCCCCUCAAAGGCAGGCUCAGCUGUCAUCGAGGGGGAAGAAACAUCAGGGCUGGAGACCAGACAGACAGGCUACUCACGGUCCUCGCCCGCCAGAGAUGGGGACUCUUACAUACCAUACAGUGGAAGUUAUGCUCAUACAUGCCCUCUAGAUUUAUCUUCAGAUUGGAGAACAUCAUUACAAGCGUCAUAUGCACAGCACUGUCAGGCUCAACAGCAUUUUGUUUUGAAGCAGAAGACAAUACCAGAAAAUCUGCCAUCCCCAACAGCCAAAUAUAA